GACAGAGGGGGCAAGCGUUGCUCGGAAUUACUGGGCGUAAAGGGCGCGUAGGCGGGAUGGCAAGUCGGUCGUGAAAUCCCUCGGCUCAACCGAGGAACGUCGAUCGAUACUGCUGUUCUUGAGGAUUGCAGAGGAGACUGGAAUUCCCGGUGUAGCGGUGAAAUGUGUAGAGAUCGGGAGGAACACCGGUGGCGAAGGCGGCACUCUGGGCCGGUACUGACGCUGAGGAGCGAAAGCGUGGGGAGCGAACAGG
rnacentral:rRNA from 1 species